rnacentral:rRNA from 1 species
UACGUAGGUGGCUAGCGUUGUCCGGAUUUACUGGGCGUAAAGCGUGCGCAGGCGGUUUUGUAAGUUUGUCGUGAAAGCCCCGGGCUCAACCUGGGAAUUGCGAUGAAGACUGCAAGGCUUGAAUCUGGCAGAGGGGGGUAGAAUUCCACGUGUAGCAGUGAAAUGCGUAGAGAUGUGGAAGAACACCGAUGGCGAAGGCAGCCCCCUGGGUCAAGAUUGACGCUCAUGCACGAAAGCGUGGGGAGCAAACAGG